rnacentral:lncRNA from 1 species
CUCCCUACCCUACCAGUGACCGAUGAUAGGCAACUAGUCUCCUUCCCGAUGCAAGCAUUCUUCCCAACUAGUGUUUGGCGAUGGGUAUUAAGUCUUCUCCAUCGACAUUUGAUGAGGAGCAUCAUUCCAACCAACAUCUGACAACGGUUGUCCUUCCCCACUCGUAUCCAGUGACGAAACGGAACUGGCACCUGGAGCUGAGCAGGAAU